rnacentral:rRNA from 1 species
UGGGGAAUUUUGGACAAUGGGCGCAAGCCUGAUCCAGCCAUGCCGCGUGCGGGAAGAAGGCCUUCGGGUUGUAAACCGCUUUUGUCAGGGAAGAAACGCUCUGGGCUAAUACCCCGGGGUAAUGACGGUACCUGAAGAAUAAGCACCGGCUAACUACGUGCCAGCAGCCGCGGUAAUACGUAGGGUGCAAGCGUUAAUCGGAAUUACUGGGCGUAAAGCGUGCGCAGGCGGUUAUGCAAGACAGAUGUGAAAUCCCCGGGCUCAACCUGGGAACUGCAUUUGUGACUGUAUAGCUAGAGUACGGUAGAGGGGGAUGGAAUUCCGCGUGUAGCAGUGAAAUGCGUAGAUAUGCGGAGGAACACCGAUGGCGAAGGCAAUCCCCUGGACCUGUACUGACGCUCAUGCACGAAAGCGUGGGGAGCAAACAGGAUUAGAUACCCUGGUAGUCCCUGAGCGGGCUGGCAAGGCGCAU